AAAACUUUCAACAACGGAUCUCUUGGUUCUGGCAUCGAUGAAGAACGCAGCGAAAUGCGAUAAGUAAUGUGAAUUGCAGAAUUCAGUGAAUCAUCGAAUCUUUGAACGCACAUUGCGCCCGCCAGUAUUCUGGCGGGCAUGCCUGCCCGAGCGUCAUUU
rnacentral:rRNA from 1 species